rnacentral:rRNA from 1 species
UACGAACCGUCCUAACGUUGUUCGGAAUCACUGGGCUUAAAGGGCGCGUAGGCGGGCUGCCAAGUCCGGGGUGAAAUCUUUCGGCUCAACCGGAAAAUAGCCUUGGAUACUGGCAGUCUCGAGUGAGGUAGGGGCGGGUGGAACUUCCGGUGGAGCGGUGAAAUGCGUUGAUAUCGGAAGGAACGCCGGUGGCGAAAGCGACCCGCUGGACCUCUUCUGACGCUGAGGCGCGAAAGCCAGGGGAGCAAACGGG